rnacentral:rRNA from 1 species
AUUGAACGCUGGCGGCAGGCCUAACACAUGCAAGUCGAGCGGUAGAGAGGUGCUUGCAUCUCUUGAGAGCGGCGGACGGGUGAGUAAUGCCUAGGAAUCUGCCUAGUGGUGGGGGAUAACGUUCGGAAACGGACGCUAAUACCGCAUACGUCCUACGGGAGAAAGCGGGGGAUCUUCGGACCUCGCGCCAUUAGAUGAGCCUAGGUCGGAUUAGCUAGUUGGUGAGGUAAUGGCUCACCAAGGCGACGAUCCGUAACUGGUCUGAGAGGAUGAUCAGUCACACUGGAACUGAGACACGGUCCAGACUCCUACGGGAGGCAGCAGUGGGGAAUAUUGGACAAUGGCGAAAGACCUGAUCCAGCCAUGCCGCGUGUGUGAAGAAGGUCUUCGGAUUGUAAAGUCACUUUAAGUUGGGAGGAAGGGUAGUAACCUAAUACGUUGCUACUUUGACGUUACCGACAG